rnacentral:tRNA from 1 species
GCCUGGCUAGCUCAGUUGGUAGAGCAUGUGACUCUUGAUCUUAGGGUCAUGAGAUGGAGGUCCAUGCUGGGUG